GAUGAACGCUGGCGGCGUGCCUAAUACAUGCAAGUCGAGCGAACGGACGAGAAGCUUGCUUUUCUGAUGUUAGCGGCGGACGGGUGAGUAACACGUGGCUAACCUACCUAUAAGACUGGGAUAACUUCGGGAAACCGGAGCUAAUACCGGAUAAUAUUUUGAACCGCAUGGUUCAAAAGUGAAAGACGGUCUUGCUGUCACUUAUAGAUGGAUCCGCGCUGCAUUAGCUAGUUGGUAAGGUAACGGCUUACCAAGGCAACGAUGCAUAGCCGACCUGAGAGGGUGAUCGGCCACACUGGAACUGAGACACGGUCCAGACUCCUACGGGAGGCAGCAGUAGGGAAUCUUCCGCAAUGGGCGAAAGCCUGACGGAGCAACGCCGCGUGAGUGAUGAAGGUCUUCGGAUCGUAAAACUCUGUUAUUAGGGAAGAACAUAUGUGUAAGUAACUGUGCACAUCUUGACGGUACCUAAUCAGAAAGCCACGGCUAACUACGUG
rnacentral:rRNA from 1 species